GGUGAACGCUGGCGGCGUGCUUAAGACAUGCAAGUCGAACGGCAGUCUUCGGACUGUAGUGGCGCACGGGUGAGUAACGCGUAACUGACCUACCCCCAAGUCGCGGAUAACGAAUCGAAAGAAUCGCUAAUACGUGAUGUGCUGUCAGAUUGCGUUCUGCCAGUAAAGAUUGAUUGCUUUGGGAUGGGGUUGCGUUCCGUCAGCUAGUUGGUGGGGUAAAGCCCCACCAAGGCGACGACGGAUAGCCGGCCUGAGGGGGUGGCCGGCCACAGAGGCACUGAGACACGGGUCCCACUCCUACGGGAGGCAGCAGUUAGGAAUCUUCCACAAUGGGCGAAAGCCUGAUGGAGCGACGCCGCGUGAGGGAUGAAGGUCUUCGGAUCGUAAACCUCUGAAUCAGGGACGAAAGACACUUCGGUGGGAUGACGGUACCUGAGUAAUAGCACCGGCUAACUCCGUGCCAGCCGCCGCGGUAACAC
rnacentral:rRNA from 1 species